UACGUAGGGGGCUAGCGUUGUCCGGAAUCAUUGGGCGUAAAGAGCGUGUAGGCGGCCCGGUAAGUCCGCUGUGAAAGUCCAGGGCUCAACCCUGGGAUGCCGGUGGAUACUGUCGGGCUCGAGUCCGGAAGAGGAGUGUGGAAUUCCUGGUGUAGCGGUGAAAUGCGCAGAUAUCAGGAGGAACACCGGUGGCGAAGGCGGCACUCUGGGCCGGUACUGACGCUGAGGAGCGAAAGCGUGGGGAGCGAACAGG
rnacentral:rRNA from 1 species